UAAAACAUGGAAGCAGUCAAUAGCUUAUUUAUGAACCUAAAAAUAUGGUAAGAGAUUAAUUUAAUUGGCUUAACAGUAAUUUGUUCAAUAUGUGAUCAUGGCUCAAAUCGAGCUGCCAUAAAUUCCCUUCUGAAAGAUACAAAUGAAAUGUGCAAAAUAGAUAAUAUUGAGAACCGCUAUCAUGGUUAUUUAAUAGAUGGAGAAGAGAUUAUUCACAUAUAUGGCAUUCCUCACAUCUUCAAAGGAAUACAAAAUAAUCUUUUAACUAGAAAUUUAUAUUUCCACAUCCAUAAUCAAAGGAUUGCGAAGCGGGGACACAUUGUCAACCUUAAUUAUCUUGAUACAGAAGAGGAAAACAGAGUCUGUCCCACCAUAUCAGCGGCAUAUGUUCUCUCUGAGAAGCUGAAUAAAAAGAAAUUUUCCAAUUGCACUCAAGUUAAUAUAGCAAUAAAGUUGGUUGGUUUGAUGGAUAAGAUUGCUAAGGGGAUGUCAAAGGUCCACAAAAUUUACCAAGGGAAGCGUGUGGUACCGCAGAACUUAUUUUCUUGGAUAAGCUAUUUGACAGCUACAACUUACCUUGCACGGGAACACCAUCCAGCAAAUCCCUAAAAGGUGAUCCGAACCUUUCAUUGCACCAUCAGGAGCACUGGAUAGAACAAAUGAACGUUUUAAGGAGUAUGAAGUAUUUUAAUGAAAAAAAAAAUUGUAUGUAAUUGUAAUAAUUGUGGUUCCCUCUAUAGAUAAUUAAAUUUUCAA